UGGCCUAACACAUGCAAGUCGAACGAACUCUUCGGAGUUAGUGGCGGACGGGUGAGUAACACGUGGGAACGUGCCUUUUGGUUCGGAAUAACUCAGGGAAACUUGUGCUAAUACCGAAUGUGCCCUUCGGGGGAAAGAUUUAUCGCCAUUAGAGCGGCCCGCGUCUGAUUAGCUAGUUGGUGAGGUAACGGCUCACCAAGGCGACGAUCAGUAGCUGGUCUGAGAGGAUGAUCAGCCACACUGGGACUGAGACACGGCCCAGACUCCUACGGGAGGCAGCAGUGGGGAAUCUUGCGCAAUGGGCGAAAGCCUGACGCAGCCAUGCCGCGUGAAUGAUGAAGGUCUUAGGAUUGUAAAAUUCUUUCACCGGGGACGAUAAUGACGGUACCCGGAGAAGAAGCCCCGGCUAACUUCGUGCCAGCAGCCCGGGGUAA
rnacentral:rRNA from 1 species